AUUCUAAUGUGAUAUCUAUUCUAAUUUUCUGAAUAAUUUUCAACAAGUGAGAAAAAGCGAAAAAAAUGGUGGCUUUCGUUCGCGUUCAAUCUCUCCCCAAACUUCUUCGGUCGAGGUACCCUCGAGCUUUGAGAUAAAUAGGGCCAUCUCUUCGUUGGUAGAGAUCAGGUUGUAUAGAACCCAAUGGUGAAGCUGGAGGAGGUGGUCCACCGUCACUGUUACACAAAAAAAGAAUGCCUCACCUUCCGAUAAUGCGUGAUGGUGGAAUAAGAAGGGGUGAAAGACUUCGGCCAGCUGAUCUGGAAGCUCCGUGGGUAACGUUUAUCGAGGAACCACCACAAGAAGAGCUCACACCUGUUGCCAAAGACGACAGAGAGCUCUGAGAUGGUGAUGCAUUACUGCUCACAAGACUUCCGGAACAACUGGCUGGACUUCCACAGCGUGCAUCUAGUGAUGCGGUACGACCAGGUGAUGGCGAUCUGUGCGUUUAGGAAUCGAGUGCAAGGUGCAUUUCAAUUUUUUUCUAUUACAAAUUAACAAAAUUAGAAAUAAUAUAAUAGUACAAUGAAUGAUUUUUAAUCAAUGAUUAAUGAAAUGUAUUUUUAAAUGACUGUUA